rnacentral:rRNA from 1 species
GACGAACGCUGGCGGCGUGCUUAACACAUGCAAGUCGAACGGAAAGGCCCUGCUUUUGUGGGGUGCUCGAGUGGCGAACGGGUGAGUAACACGUGAGUAACCUGCCCCUGACUUUGGGAUAACUUCAGGAAACUGGGGCUAAUAUCGGAUAGGAGCUCUUGCUGCAUGGUGGGGGUUGGAAAGAUUCGGCGGUUGGGGAUGGACUCGCGGCUUAUCAGCUUGUUGGUGGGGUAGUGGCGUACCACGGCUUUGACGGGUAGCCGGCCUGGGAGGGUGACCGGCCACAUUGGGCCUACGAUACGGCCCAGAAUCCUACGGGAGGCAGCGGUGGGGAGUAUUACGCAGUGGGCGGGAGCCUGAGGCGGCAACGCCGCGUGCGGGAUGCCCGCCUUCGGGUUGUAAACCGAUUUGGCCUGUGACGAGGCGUGAGUGACGGUAAUGGGUAAAGAAGCACCGGCUAACUACGUG